ACACCUCAUGCCCUGAGCUCCUGGUGUAGGAUCUGGCCACCUGUGAUCCUGAACUGGAGUAAGGAGUUUUCAAUAACCUAUGGACAACGUUGAGGACUCAUUGAAUGUGGCUAUAAGUGUGGUCAAGUAAUGAAAACUGAUCAGCUAAGGGAGGAAAAAGACAAAAGUGGACAACCAAAAUGAAAGUGAGUGAACCUUUGUGUGUGGUGGGAACACUUAAGAUCUACUUUCUUAGCAAAUU